AGAAAAACGUGCAAGAGAUGAAAUGUAAGAAACAAGUAAAAAACAACCAGUUGGAAGAGGGAAUGGACUCGUCAGAUUGACACUAAGCACAGGCUAGUUAAAAGACAAAGUAUACACCGUACCAAUUCAAAGGGUACAGGAAGUUACUGAAAGCUAACUGAAAGCGCCAAUUACAACUUAUGUUUAUCAACCAUUUGAUUUCAGAC
rnacentral:lncRNA from 1 species